rnacentral:rRNA from 1 species
UGGGGAAUAUUGCACAAUGGGGGAAACCCUGAUGCAGCGACGCCGCGUGAGCGAAGAAGGCCUUCGGGUCGUAAAGCUCUUUUAUGAGGGAAGAUAAUGAUGGUACCUCAAGAAAAAGCCCCGGCUAACUACGUGCCAGCAGCCGCGGUAAUACGUAGGGGGCUAGCGUUGUCCGGAAUCACUGGGCGUAAAGGGUUCGCAGGCGGAAUAACAAGUCAGAUGUGAAAGGCAUGGGCUCAACCCAUGUAAGCAUUUGAAACUGUAAUUCUUGAGAAGUGGAGAGGUAAGUGGAAUUCCUAGUGUAGCGGUGAAAUGCGUAGAUAUUAGGAGGAAUACCUGUGGCGAAGGCGACUUACUGGACACAAAUCUGACGCUGAGGAACGAAAGCGUGGGUAGCAAACAGG